UACGGAGGGUGCAAGCGUUAAUCGGAAUUACUGGGCGUAAAGCGCGCGCAGGCGGCUUCUUAAGUCUGAUGUGAAAGCCCACGGCUCAACCGUGGAGGGUCAUUGGAAACUGGGGAGCUUGAGUACAGAAGAGGAGAGUGGAAUUCCAUGUGUAGCGGUGAAAUGCGUAGAUAUAUGGAGGAACACCAGUGGCGAAGGCGGCUCUCUGGUCUGUAACUGACGCUGAGGCACGAAAGCUAGGGGAGCAAACAGG
rnacentral:rRNA from 1 species